AGAUGUGGAUAAGGGCCACCUAGCUGUGACAACUGUCAUCUCAUUGUUCAUGAUGCUUUAUUCAGCUGAUCCAGCCGGCUCUGUGGCUUCCCUCACUACUCUGUGUGUCCCUCUAGAAGUGUUGAACUCAGUAGNGUAGGAUGGCCUUCCCUGAUAAGGAGGACUCUUCUCCAGCCCAGAACAUAUUAUAGGCUGUGAGCUCUCAAUAGAACCUCUAAGUUCAGAAGAAUGAAAGCGUUAGUUUGGCUUACUGUUUGAGGGAAUACAUGUCAGGGGAGGCAUGCCAGUGGGUGGCUUCUU
rnacentral:snRNA from 1 species